CCUACGGGUGGCAGCAGUGGGGGAUAUUGGACAAUGGGGGGAACCCUGAUCCAGCGACGCCGCGUGAGUGAAGAAGGAUCUCGGGUUGUAAAGCUCUAUCAGCAGGGACGAAGAAAUGACGGUAACCGAGGAAGAAGCCCCGGCUAAAUCAGUGCCAGGAGCCGCGGGUAAACGUAGGGGGGAAGCGGUAUCCGGAAUUACUGGGUGGAAAGGGAGUGUAGACGGGGAUGGAAGUCGGGAGUGAAAGGCGAGGGCCCAACCCCCGGACUGGGCUGGAAAAGUUGUGACUGGAGUGCAGGAGAGGUGGGCGGAAUUCCUAGUGUAGCGGUGAAAUGCGUAGAUAUUAGGAGGAACACCAGUGGCGAAGGCGGCUCACUGGACUGUAACUGACGUUGAGGCUCGAAAGCGUGGGGAGCAAACAGGAUUAGAUACCCGGGUAGUC
rnacentral:rRNA from 1 species